UUUAUUACAAAUUUUAUGCUUAAUUUAAUUAUUAAUUUCAUUUAAUUAUAUUUGGUAUCACUUGAGUUUUUCGCGUUUGAUUUGUGUUUCGUUUUCAAUAAUUUUUCUUUUUGAGUCACUUGCAAAGUGCAUUUUUUUUCCGUUGCCGUUGCCGUUGCCGUUGCCGUACAUUGCAAAGUCGCGCUCCACACUGACAAAAGGGUAGAGAACUUUUUCUCCAACGUUUGGCCAGAGUUGCCAUUUUUCCCACUAAAAAAGCCGAUGCCGAUCAAAGUCAACGCGUCGCCGUCGCAGUCGGCCGCUUCGUGCAAUUGCAAAAGCACAGACCCCAAAACGAGGAGGAGACGCCAACGCAGGCGGAGCAGCAGCAGCAGCAGCAGCAGCAGCGGCGGCGACCAGCAAAAAUGGCGACGGCGGCGACUUUGGGAUGCUUACCAGUGUUGAAAAAUGAGCCGCCCACAAGGCGCGAUCGUAAAAGUACAACGCACCUGCAAUGCAAAUUGACGAAGAAGAGAAGAGAGCGCACAACAAACAAAGACAACCAACAAUAACCGCAGCAGCGGCAACAACAACGGGCAAUGGCCCAACGGCAAUGUAACGGACGGCGCGAUGACGACGCGAAAAACCGCAAAAAACCGUGAAACAAGAAAUUAUGCGCGAACCGCGAACACUUGAACACAGCCAACACACACACACACACAAACGCACAGUUGCAAAUUGCAAAUGCACACAAGCACAAGUACAGGAACAGUAAUAUAUGUGUGUGUGUGUGUAAACUGUGCAAAGUCAAUGCGACGUAAAUGAAAGGAAAGAACAAGCAGAGAGCCAAAAGCGCAAGCGACCGCGAUGUGCAACGAAUCUUUUGAAAAUGAAUGCAACCAGCGACGGUGGCGACAAAAGAAAGCUGCACCAUGGGCAGCAUAACUGAAAAUCUGCUCAAAAGUUUUUACAUGUCAAGUAAUGAGAUUCGACGCUCUGCUAACUUUACAAUUGCAUUUCAAAAGCGUUUAUCUGUUA